GACUUGUGUGUGCUUGCAAUUGCGGUCAGUUGCCAAAAGGUAACUCCGACAUGCGUUGCAGGCGCCGUCAAACCUUCAACUGGAUCGUGCCUGGGCUUCAUUGUCUGGGCACUGUCAUUCGGUUGAUCAUUUACUGUGAGAAAAUUAGAGUGUUCAAGGCAGGCAUUAUUGCAAUUGAAUAUGUUAGCAUGGAAUAAUAAGAUAAGGCUUUCGGCCUAUUUUGUUGGUUUCUAGAUCGGAAGUAAUGAUUGAUAGGGAUAGUUGGGGGUGCUAGUAUUCAACGGCCAGAGGUGAAAUUCAUGGAUUCGUUGAAGACUAACUUAUGCGAAAGCAUU
rnacentral:rRNA from 1 species